rnacentral:tRNA from 1 species
UCCCUUGCAGCUCAAUGGUAGAGCGCUCGGCUGUUAACCGAGUGGUUGCAGGUUCGAGUCCUGCCCGGGGAGCCA